ACAGUGAAGUGGAAUGAGAAGGCUCUCAGUUUACAUGUGAGUUUGGGGGGGCACAACAGAAGACAAUGACAUGGUGUCUGUGGUAAACAACACUAAAGCCAUUGUCAGAUCUAUUGGGCAAAGAUCAUCUGAAACUAACAAAGAAUGAGACAGUGGCAUGAGUGGAAAAGAAGACAGUAUAGGAAACACAGCCCUCAACUUCAUCUUUCCACAUCACUCAGCUGUUCACUCAGCCAUUUAAACUUCUCAAGCACCUGGACUCAACAGCCUUUGCUCAUCUCAACAUGUAAAUCUGAAGAUUUCACAGUCGACAAAUUGAAGGUGGAGUGGGAAAGGGAUAACCAACCUCUAAGAAAUGUACCAACUGAAAAGAAGCUGCAGAGUGUGGAGAAGGACAAGGAGAAAACUUUCACUCUAAGCAGUGAGAUGGAGCCAAAUAUGACACAGUGGAAAAUGGGCUCAAGUUUUACAUGCAAGGCCACUCACAACAAAAAAGAAUACAAAAAAGGCAAUAAAUAUUUGUCAAAUCCAUGCAAGUACUACUCCUUCCAUUCAUGUGGAGAUUCACAGCUUCAAAACUGUAAUGAUGGCAGAAUCUGAAGUGAAAGCAACAUGUUCUGUCCACACUGUUCUUGAUGCCAAGGUGACCUGGCUGAUGGAUGAAAAGCUGCAACAAGUGCCACCGAGACGAGAAACGCAACUCAUAUAAUCAGUGAUGUGACAGUUGGAAGAAGUCAGUGGAUACAACUCAAGUUGAUAACAUGUAAAGCUGAUCAUAAGUGUUUCUCAUUCACUGAGAGAGUGAAUGUUGCUGGGCCUGUAGUUACAGCUCCAUCAGUGGAGAUCAAGAGAUCUCUCCCACAUUUGCUGAAGGGAGAAAGUGCUGUGCUCCAGUGUGACAUCACAAACCUCUCCUCCAGUGACCUCUACGUCACCUUUCAGGCCAACAAUGUUGAUAUCUCUGACAAACAGUAUGUUGAUCUUCCUGAAGCCUCAGGCCUCCAUUCAGUCACAAGACACUUCUCUGUCCCUCAAAGUCACUGGAAGAAAGACACAACUUUCACCUGCAAAGUCCAGCAAGGUUUUUCCAAAGGGACUAGGGGGUCAUACAGAGCUGCCAGGGGGGCCUUAAGAUGGCUGUGAAUGUUAACUAAACGAAUGGUCAAUCUGUAGUGCUUAAUUUGUAUAAACUAAGCAAAUAAAUAAAUUGGUCAAAAUGCAGUAUAGCAUGCAGUGGCAUGGCCGUACGCACCAUUGAGGUCCCCCAAGGGAAUGUCUUUGUCAUAUGUAGGGGGGGCCCUGGAAUUUUUCACUGGACACAGGGGGGGUUUGGCAGCAGAAAGGUUGAGAACCACUGCUCAAUACAAUGUAUAUAUACUGCAGUACCAACAUGCCUGUAUUACCCUGACUGUCCACAGGAGUGGGACAAAGCUACAGUUGUGAUUUGCCACCUUUGUAUGAAACUCUUGUUAUGUAGUAAUUUGAAGAUGCUGAAAGGUCUGAACUGCACUUACUAAAUGGUCCCAGAGAAAUCAUCAUUACCAUUUCAUCACAAGAUAUUACUGACAUGACAGUAUCAUCUUCAUGCCAUCUUCAGAGCUCACACGCACACUCUCUUUGUAGUUGUAAACAGGGUACAGUCGACAGCACCACUGAGCAAAGCCUAAUCUAGAGUCGUGUACAGAUACUUAAGUAAUUAAAUGGGGAAAAUUAAAAAAGGAAA